UACGAAGGGUGCAAACGUUGCUCGGAAUUAUUGGGCGUAAAGCGCACGUAGGCGGCUUAGCAAGUCCCAUGUGAAAGCCCACGGCUUAACCGUGGAAGUGCAUGGGAAACUGCUGAGCUUGAGUACUUAAGAGGAUCGCGGAAUUCCCGGUGUAGAGGUGAAAUUCGUAGAUAGUCGGGAGGAACACCGGUGGCGAAGGCGGCGAUCUGGGUCGAUACGUGACGCGUGA
rnacentral:rRNA from 1 species